rnacentral:rRNA from 1 species
UACGUAGGGCGCAAGCGUUGUCCGGAAUCAUUGGGCGUAAAGCGCGCGUAGGUGGCCCUGUAAGUCCGUUGUGAAAGUCAAAGGCUCAACCUUUGAAAGCCGAUGGAUACUGCAGGACUAGAGUACGGAAGAGGCGAGUGGAAUUCCUGGUGUAGCGGUGGAAUGCGCAGAUAUCAGGAGGAACACCAAUAGCGAAGGCAGCUCGCUGGGACGUUACUGACACUGAGGCGCGAAAGCGUGGGGAGCGAACAGG